UGAUGAGGAAGUUACGUAGUUUACCUGCUUGUGGAAUUUAUAGUUUAUUUCUCUAGUUCUCUCAAUUUUUCUAUCCUAAUGUUCCUGAGAAAUAGAUCACAUUCCCAUAGUAACAGUGGCACGCUACAGCAGGCACAUUAGCAUCUCAGUAGAGAAAGGGAUUGCAACCUGAAGAAGUCCCCAAGUGACUCUACUUACCACAUGCCCCUCUUUCAGAAUCACUGUUCUAAUGGCUCUAUAUUCCUAUAGAAGUUUGACCCUACAUCCAUGGGGUGGCAGGUCAAAUGUCUGAAGACUAUUAUUACGUAUCUUUUCCCCAACCCCUCCCUUUUUGCAUCUUCCGGCUUAACAUGCCGCAGAAUUCAAACGAUGACGGUUGUGUUCUUGAAGAAAAGACUGGGUCAAAAAAAGCUAUUGAGAACAGCUGUAGAAGUAUUUACAUCUGUAGUUAAAUGGACUGAAUCCAUCAGGCAAAACCAAUAGCUGAGGAGGAGAAAAGGGAAUGAGCAGGCAGAAGCCUGAGCUCUGAGCAGUGCACUGAAAUGUAGCCUAAAAUGAGCAACCCGAAAUGUGAGGGACGCGGAGAAGAGACGGCGGAUGCAUUGUUCCAUCAUUUUGUCUUUCUUUACUCUCAUCUUUAAAGCUGAACUACACAGUAAUUGUUGUGUCACGUGGAAACCCGCUCCUGUCAACAGAAACCAAAUCAUAAAAUCACUGCAGCAGCCAUCUGAUGGCAGGAAGAAUAACAGCCACAUUGAUUUCCACCUCAGCCUCUUUUUCACAUGGCAGCCAAAGGAAACAAACUCUUCCUUCCUGUCCUCUGCCUGUAGCAGAAAAUAGACAAGCCAAGCAGAUGUCCAGGGAUGGCGGAGGAGUACCUCGGCUGCAGCUUCCUUGAGAGAAAACAAGCUCAAGACAGCCU
rnacentral:lncRNA from 13 species